UACGGGGGGGGCAAGCGUUGUUCGGAAUUACUGGGCGUAAAGGGCUCGUAGGUGGCCGAUUCAGUCAGACGUGAAAUCCCUCGGCUCAACCGGGGAACUGCGUCUGAUACUAGUUGGCUUGAAUCCGGGAGAGGGAUGCGGAAUUCCAGGUGUAGCGGUGAAAUGCGUAGAUAUCUGGAGGAACACCGGUGGCGAAGGCGGCGUCCUGGACCGGUAUUGACACUGAGGAGCGAAAGCCAGGGGAGCAAACGGG
rnacentral:rRNA from 1 species